AUUGAACGCUAGCGGGAUGCUUUACACAUGCAAGUCGAACGGCAGCGCGGACUUCGGUCUGGCGUCGAGUGGCCGACGGGUGGGUAAUGUAGCGGAACAUGCCCAGUUGCUUGGUCUAAGUGCGCGAAAGCGGAACUCAUACCGCAAUAGCGCUUCGGGCGUACGGAUGGGAUCAUGAGACCUUCCGAUCUUGGGCGAGCCGAUGACGGGAUGUCGGAUUAGUGAGUUGGCGGGGUAACGGCCCACCAAGGCGACGAUCGGUAGCUGGUCUGAGAGGAUGAUCAGCCACACUGGAAAUGAGACACGGUCCAGACUCCUACGGGAGGCAGCAGUGGGGAAUAUUGGACAAUGGGCGCAAGCCUGAUCCAGCCAUACCGCGUGGGUGAAGAAGGCCUUCGGGUGGUAAAGCCCUUUUGGUGGGAAAGAAAAGCAGCAGGAUAAUACCCCGCGGUUCUGACGGUACCCAAAGAAUAAGCACCGGCUAACUUCGUG
rnacentral:rRNA from 1 species